CCUACGGGAGGCUGCAGUGAGGAAUAUUGGUCAAUGGGCGCUAGCCUGAACCAGCCAAGUAGCGUGAAGGAUGACUGCCCUAUGGGUUGUAAACUUCUUUUAUCUGGGAAUAAAGUACAGUACGUGUAGCGCUUUGCAUGUACCCUAUGAAUAAGGAUCGGCUAACUCCGUGCCCGCAGCCGCGGUAAUACGGAGGAUCCGAGCGUUAUCCGGAUUUAUUGGGUUUAAAGGGAGCGUAGGCGGGAUGUUCAUUCAGUAGGUAAAGUUCGAGGCUUCACCGUAUCAUUGCAGUUGAUACUGGCCUCCUUGAGUACCGGAGAGGUAGGCGGAAUGCGUGGUGUAGCGGUGAAAUGCAUAGAUAUCACGCAGAACUCCGAUUGCGAAGGCAGCCUACUGGACUGUAACUGACGCUGAUGCACGAAAGUGUGGGUAUCAAACAGGAUUAGAUACCCGAGUAGUC
rnacentral:rRNA from 1 species